rnacentral:rRNA from 1 species
UACGUAGGGCGCACGCGUUGUCCGGAAUUCUUGGGCGUAAAGGGCUCGUAGGCGGUCUGUUGCGUCAGGAGUGCAAACUCGGGGCUUAACCCCGAGCCUGCUUCUGAUACGGGCAGACUAGAGGUAUGCAGGGGAGAACGGAAUUCCUGGUGUAGCGGUGAAAUGCGUAGAUAUCGGGAGGAACACCAGUGGCGAAGGCGACUACCUGGCCUGUUUCUUGACGCUGAGGCGCGAAAGCUAGGGGAGCAAACGGG